rnacentral:ncRNA from 1 species
ACAAAGGCGUUGAAGAAGAGGAGUACGCAUAGUUUCAUUCUGACAGAGAGGGCGUCCGGGAAGACUGCGGCUGACGCAGAGUUCCCACGGCUGAGAAGCGCCUAAGAACAGAGAUGCGGAAGGUAGCUUUGGAGCCGGAUGGCUGAUCCUUUCAGAGAAAGCGUAGGUCAUCCCGGAGUCGUUCCCGUUACAGAAUAAGAUGAGAAUAUGGAAGAGAUCGCUUUUCUUCCAUAUAGAAUAAAGGUGGUACCGCGAUUCGAAGUUCAAUCGCCCUUUAC